GGUAGCUUGCUAUCCGGGUGGCGAGUGGCGGACGGGUGAGUAACGCGUAGGAAUCUACCUUUUCGUGGGGGAUAACCCGGGGAAACUCGGGCUAAUACCGCAUACGCCCUACGGGGGAAAGCGGGGGACCUUCGGGCCUCGCGCGGAACGAUGAGCCUGCGUCCUAUCAGGUAGUUGGUGAGGUAAUGGCUCACCAAGCCGACGACGGGUAGCUGGUCUGAGAGGACGACCAGCCACACUGGGACUGAGACACGGCCCAGACUCCUACGGGAGGCAGCAGUGGGGAAUAUUGGACAAUGGGGGAAACCCUGAUCCAGCAAUACCGCGUGUGUGAAGAAGGCCUUCGGGUUGUAAAGCACUUUUAGCAGGAAAGAAAGACUAUGCGCUAAUACCGCACGGUUUUGACGUUACUUGCAGAAAAAGCACCGGCUAACUCCGUGCCAGCAGCCGCGGUAAUACGGAGGGUGCAAGCGUUAAUCGGAAUUACUGGGCGUAAAGCGCGCGUAGGAGGCUUGUUAAGUCGGAUGUGAAAUCCCCGGGCUCAACCUGGGAACUGCAUUCGAUACUGGCUGGCUAGAGUGUGGUAGAGGGAAGUGGAAUUCCAGGUGUAGCGGUGAAAUGCGUAGAUAUCUGGGGGAACAUCAGUGGCGAAGGCGGCUUCCUGGACCAACACUGACGCUGAGGCGCGAAAGUGUGGGGAGCAAACAGGAUUAGAUACCCUGGUAGUCUACGCCGUAAACGAUGUCAACUAGCCGUAGGGAGCAUCUGGCUCUUUGUGGCGCAGCUAACGCGAUAAGUUGACCGCCUGGGGAGUACGGCCGCAAGGCUAAAACUCAAAUGAAUUGACGGGGGCCCGCACAAGCGGUGGAGCAUGUGGUUUAAUUCGAUGCAACGCGAA
rnacentral:rRNA from 1 species